rnacentral:rRNA from 1 species
GAUGAACGCUGGCGGCGUGGCUAAGGCAUGCAAGUCGUACGAUCACAUUGAUUCCGCAAGGAAUUGCUGUGGGAGUGGCAAACGGGUGAGUAACACAUUGGUAACCUACCUCAAAGUUCGGAACAACCCAGCGAAAGCAGGGCUAAUACCGGAUGUGGUGGCGGAUCGCGAGAUCUGCCAGUAAAGCCGCAAGGCGCUUUGAGAGGGGCCUAUGUUCUAUCAGCUAGUUGGUGGGGUAAAAGCCCACCAAGGCUACGACGGAUACCGGGUGUGAGAGCAUGACCCGGCUCACUGGGACUGAGACACUGCCCAGACACCUACGGGUGGCUGCAGUCACGAAUAUUCCACAAUGGGGGAAACCCCGAUGGAGCGACGCCGCGUGCGGGAUGAAGGGCUUCGGCUUGUAAACCGCUUUUCCUUGGGACGAAGCUUCGGCUGACGGUACCAAGGGAAUAAGAGGUUGCUAACUCUGUGC